GCAUGGAUGAAUUCUGUUCCAACUCUGUGGUGGACUCAGCCAGACACCAUGCAAGACUAGUACCUCAUAUCUAUGAACACGUAUGUGCAUGUUCUGCCCUCAGCUUCAUCCACCUACAUGGGUAUGAGUACAAUU